UGCUGAUAUGACUGACCAUGACACAUGGCAGUUGAUCUCUUCUUUUUGAUCGAAUUCAGCAUCAGCCAACUUGGGACUUUGAGGGUGCUAUAUUUUUUGUUUCUUUCUUUCUUUUUUCUUUCUUUUGAUUUGGAUUUCUUUUGAUUUGGUUUUGCACCCUCCUCUUUCUUUCUUUUUUCUUUUUUUUUCUUCCUUUUUGUUUUUGAUAAUGCCCCAGUUGGCUGUUCUGCUGAUUCUCGAGAUACAGCUGAGUGAUCUUCUUCUCUUGCUCAAGAAGUCGGGAAAUCUCGUCAGGAAUCCCUUCAACAUCAUCUUCGUCCGCUUCGAAUACAGGGAACUCAAAAUUGGAGAUGACGUCCGAUCACUAUGUUCAAUGGGUUUGAGAAACAACCUGCAUAAUGAUUUGAUAUGAAAAGCUCUUUGAAAAUCAAACAAGACAAUCGUUAUGCAGAUGAAAAGACUGCUUUUAUUCCUGUUUUUAAAGGUUUUUUGUGAUCACCAAUUUCAUGCAAAAAGCGAAAAGGGAAAACAAUUGGAAAAACAAAUGUUUUAACAUGAAUUAUUUGAAUGAAAAUAUCAUUGCACAAAAUGCUGCCAACAAUGUCAUCACUUCUCCUUUUGGCAUGGGAGAAGGGUUUUUAAACAAAG
rnacentral:lncRNA from 1 species